ACAAACUUGGUCAUUUAGAGGAAGUAAAAGUCGUAACAAGGUUUCCGUAGGUGAACCUGCGGAAGGAUCAUUAUUGAAUGUAUUGAAAACUUGUUGUUGCUGGUGAUUGACUUUCACAUUUGUGCACGCAGUUCUUCAUAUCAUCCACACACACACACCUUAUGUGAACUCAUGUGGACGGAAGGGUUUUAUUACCUGGAACUCCAUUUUUACUACACACACGUUGAUUGACUUUUGUAUUGUGGGCUUAAUGAUAAUAAUAAAACAACUUUCAACAACGGAUCUCUUGGCUCUCGCAUCGAUGAAGAACGCAGC
rnacentral:misc_RNA from 1 species